AAUGGACCUGUUGGGGUAUUUGAAUGGGAAGCUUUUGCCAGGGGAACCAAGUCCCUCAUGGAUGAGGUGGUAAAAGCCACUUCUAGGGGUUGCAUCACUAUCAUAGGUGGUGGAGACACUGCCACUUGCUGUGCCAAAUGGAAUACGGAGGAUAAAGUCAGCCACGUGAGCACUGGGGGUGGUGCCAGUCUCGAGCUCCUGGAAGGUAAAGUCCUUCCUGGGGUGGAUGCUCUCAGCAAUGUUUAGUAUUUUCCUGCCUUUUGGUUCCUGUGCACAGCCCCUAAGUCAACUUAGUGUGUUUUCCGCAUCUCCAUUUGGUGUUAGCGCAAGAUUCAGCUAGUGGCCGAGAUGCAGCACCAGGAACCCUUAAACAGUUGCACAGCAUCUCAGCUCGUCUUUACUGCAUCGGGAUUUGUCUACAUUCUUCAAGAUCCCAUUUAAGUUCCUUAGUGACUAAACCAUUGUGCAUUCUAGAGUGCAUCUAUUUAUAUUCUGCCUGUAAAAGAAAGGGAGCUGUAAAAGCUUAGCUCUCUUGGAGUAGUCUCUGGUUAGCUUUGUCACCGUUCAUGACUCGGCAUGGAAAUGAGAUGAAAUUCCAGCUGUAGGUUUGGAGAAGUUGAUGAUGAUUAAUAAAGAUGUCCACCGAAA